AAGGGAAAGCAACGACAGUAGCAGGAACUGCCUGUACCAUCUUCUCUGCAGUGAGCAGGCACCCUUUCUCUGGAAGGUACUGAGGAACGCAUUCCACAACAUUGAUGGGGUAAACCGAGAAAGAGGAAGAUUCAGCACAGCAGAGAGAGAAUUCCUUGAGAAGGAAUGAUGAUGGCAUCAAAGUGAAGAUCUAGUAAACAGACAAAUAGUUUCCCAGCAGAAAGAGACAAGCAAAUAAGCCUGAGCAUGUGAUGGACUUGGAAAGCAAUGAAUCUUAACAAAUUUGCAGUUGAAUUAUUGAACUGUUAAGACGGCGCAGCUAAACAG